rnacentral:rRNA from 1 species
CCUAGUGGUGAUAGCGGAGGGGAAACACCCGUUCCCAUCCCGAACACGGAAGUUAAGCCCUCCAGCGCCGAUGG